CGACCGGCGCACGGGUGAGUAACACGUAUGGAACCUGCCCGCAGCAGGGGGAUAAGCGGAAGAAAUUCCGUCUAAUACCGCGUAACACCGCAGAGGGGCAUCCCUCGGCGGUUAAAGAUUCAUCGGCUGCGGAUGGCCAUGCGGCGCAUUAGCUAGUCGGCGGGGUAACGGCCCACCGAGGCGACGAUGCGUAGGGGUUCUGAGAGGAAGGUCCCCCACACUGGUACUGAGACACGGACCAGACUCCUACGGGAGGCAGCAG
rnacentral:rRNA from 1 species